AACUCUUAUACUUUUGCUUUCAGCAUUGGCGACGAACAAACGGUAGAAUUACAUGUUCAUGAAUUUGUAAACCAAACAUUUCACAGAGAUGGAUCUGACAUCUGACCAACAGGUUGUCAGAUUCACCCCUCGCCCAUUCUUUAACCUUCCUUCAACUCUGAAUCAUCAUUAAUAUUGAAAAAAACCAAUAAAAAUUCAGUCAAUUUAAGCUUAAUCAGGGUAUAUGUGUUAUUUGUCACAACAAAAAAGUUAAAAGCUUGAAGUUCAUUCAAUGAAAAAGUGAAAGCAUCACAGAUAUCUUUACCCUUACUUCAGAAAUUUGCAAAGAGUAAGAAGGAAUUCAAAUGCUUGACCACAUUUAUAAACACAAACCAAUCAAAUGCUAAUAAUGAAAAUCUAUUAUGAAUGAACUGACUUUCAAUAUGAUAAUUGAUAUUUCCUCAUAAAGUUGUUAUACAUCUAGAAAAUUACCAAAGAGCUUAUAGUAAAUUACCUCAAGACAGCUCAAAGAGAAGAAGUUAUGAUCAAAUGAAGGUCAGCAACACCCCUAGAUGUCAGAAUUCUUGGAAGGAGGCAAAAUUUCUCUUUUGUAUCAGUGUGUGCCUUUUGUCAGUGAUU
rnacentral:lncRNA from 1 species